AACGUAGGAGACAAACGUUAUCCGGAUUUACUGGGCGUAAAGGGCGUGUAGGUGGUUGCGUAAGUCUGGCGUGAAAUUUUUCGGCUUAACCGGGAAAGGUCGUCGGAUACUGCGUAACUAGAGGACGGUAGAGGCGUGUGGAAUUCCGGGUGUAGUGGUGAAAUGCGUAGAGAUCCGGAGGAACACCAGUGGCGAAGGCGACACGCUGGGCCGUACCUGACACUGAACCGCGACAGCAUGGGGAGCAAACAGG
rnacentral:rRNA from 1 species